rnacentral:rRNA from 1 species
AUGAACCACGGCUUAGCCGACGGGACGGCAUUCUGGCAGUUCUUCAACACCUGGUCCGAGCUAAGCCAUGCCAACAACGCCGGCGCUGGCUACGAUGUAAUGAUCUCCACGUCGUUGCCCGUGUUCGACAGGAGUUUUCUCGGCAGCUGUUGGGCCGUCCCCAUCGCUCUUCCCUUCUGCAUCUGGAGGAUGUCACCGCCGGGCAAUGCUGUGGGGGAAAGUCACCGCCAAGUCCACCGCCCACGAUAUCGUCGACAAGGGCCUGGGCAGGGCGGCAUGGCUCCUGAACAGGACCGUUGCAUUGUUUGA